rnacentral:rRNA from 1 species
AGCUCCAAUAGCGUAUAUUAAAGAUGUUGGGGUAAAAAAGCAAGAAGAAGGAUCAAAAAAGCCAUGAAGCGGGUAACAAGGUAGUUUUCCUGCUUUUUCGUCUGUUCUUUUGCUGGAGGUUUAGGGGUGCUCUUGAUCGAGUGUCUCUGGAUGCCAGCAGGUUUACUUUGAAAAAAUUAGAGUGCUCAAAGCAGGCUAAAAUGCCUGAAUAUUCGUGCAUGGAAUAAUAGAAUAGGAUGUCGAUCCUAUUUUGUUGGUUUUCGGGACUCGACAUAAUGAUAAAUAGGGACAGUCGGGGGCAUUUGUAUUCAAACGACAGAGGUGAAAUUCUUGGACCGUUUGAAGACAAGCUACUGCGAAAGCAUUUGCAAAGAAUGUUGUCA